ACAAGCAGCGGAGCGUGUGGUUUAAUUCGUUGCUACACGAAGAACCUUACCUGGGUUUGACAUAUAGGUUGUAGGGAACUGAAAAGGGACCGACCUUCGGGGAGCCUAUACAGGUGUUGCAUGGCUGUCGUCAGCUCGUGUCGUGAGAUGUUCGGUUAAGUCCGCUAACGAGCGCAACCCUCGUCGUAUGUUAUAUGUGUCAUACGAGACUGCCGGUAAAAGCCGGAGGAAGGUGAGGAUGAUGUCAAGUCAGCAUGACCUUUAUAUCCAGGGCUACACACACGCUACAAUGGUCUGUACAAUGGGUAGCCAAGCCGCGAGGCGGAGCCAAUCCUGAAAGCAGGCCUCAGUUCAGAUUGCAGUCUGCAACUCGACUGCAUGAAGCCGGAGUUGCUAGUAACCGCAGGUCAGCAAUACUGCGGUGAAUACGUUCCCGGGUCUU
rnacentral:rRNA from 1 species